AAUCCAGUGGUCAUCCAGGAAAACACACCUUUCACCAUGAAGUUGUGGCUGAACUGGAUUUCCCUUUUAACACUUUUAAAAGGUAUCCAGUGUGAGGUGAAGCUGUUGGAAUCUGGAGGAGGUUUGGUACAGCCGGGGGGUUCUCUGAGACUUUCCUGUGCAGCUUCUGGAUUCACCUUCGCUGAUUUCUACAUGAGCUGGAUCCGCCAGUCUCCAGGGAAGGCACCUGAGUGGUUGAGUUUUAUUAGAAACAAAGCUAAUAGUUACACAACAGAGUACAAUCCAUCUGUGAAGGGGCGGUUCACCAUCUCCAGAGAUGAUACCCAAAACGUCCUCUAUCUUCAAAUGAACACCCUGAGAGCUGAGGACACUGCCAUUUACUACUGUGCAAAACAUGA
rnacentral:lncRNA from 1 species